CGCCAGACUCCUACGGGAGGCAGCAGUGGGGAAUAUUGCACAAUGGGGGAAACCCUGAUGCAGCGACGCCGCGUGAAGGAAGAAGUAUUUCGGUAUGUAAACUUCUAUCAGCAGGGAAGAAAAUGACGGUACCUGACUAAGAAGCCCCGGCUAACUACGUGCCAGCAGCCGCGGUAAUACGUAGGGAGCGAGCGUUGUCCGGAAUUACUGGGCGUAAAGGGCGCGUAGGCGGGAACUUAAGUUAGAUGUGAAAACUCCGGGCUUAACCUGGAGACUGCAUUUAAAACUGGGUUUCUUGAGGGCAGGAGAGGAAAGUGGAAUUCCUAGUGUAGCGGUGAAAUGCGUAGAUAUUAGGAGGAACACCAGUGGCGAAGGCGACUUUCUGGACUGUACCUGACGCUGAGGCGCGAAAGCAUGGGGAGCGAACAGGAUUAGAUACCCGUGUA
rnacentral:rRNA from 1 species